rnacentral:rRNA from 1 species
ACACAUGCAAGUCGAACGGCAGCACGGGUGCUUGCACCUGGUGGCGAGUGGCGAACGGGUGAGUAAUACAUCGGAACAUGUCCUGUAGUGGGGGAUAGCCCGACGAAAGCCGGAUUAAUACCGCAUACGAUCUACGGAUGAAAGCGGGGGACCUUCGGGCCUCGCGCUAUAGGGUUGGCCGAUGGCUGAUUAGCUAGUUGGUGGGGUAAAGGCCUACCAAGGCGACGAUCAGUAGCUGGUCUGAGAGGACGACCAGCCACACUGGGACUGAGACACGGCCCAGACUCCUACGGGAGGCAGCAGUGGGGAAUUUUGGACAAUGGGCGAAAGCCUGAUCCAGCAAUGCCGCGUGUGUGAAGAAGGCCUUCGGGUUGUAAAGCACUUUUGUCCGGAAAGAAAUCCUUGGUUCUAAUAUAGCCGGGGGAUGACGGUACCGGAAGAAUAAGCACCGGCUAACUACGUGCCAGCAGCCGCGGUAAUACGUAGGGUGCGAGCGUUAAUCGGAAUUACUGGGCGUAAAGCGUGCGCAGGCGGUUUGCUAAGACCGAUGUGAAAUCCCCGGGCUCAACCUGGGAACUGCAUUGGUGACUGGCAGGCUAGAGUAUGGCAGAGGGGGGUAGAAUUCCACGUGUAGCAGUGAAAUGCGUAGAGAUGUGGAGGAAUACCGAUGGCGAAGGCAGCCCCCUGGGCCAAUACUGACGCUCAUGCACGAAAGCGUGGGGAGCAAACA